rnacentral:rRNA from 1 species
UACGGAGGUGGCAAGCGUUGCUCGGAAUCACUGGGCGUAAAGGGCGCGUAGGCGGGGAGGUAAGUCGGGUGUGAAAUCCCUCGGCCCAACUGAGGAACUGCGCCCGAGACUGCUUCUCUUGAGUCCCGGAGAGGAAGAUGGAAUUCCCGGUGUAGCGGUGAAAUGCGUAGAUAUCUGGAGGAACACCGGUGGCGAAGGCGGCAUCCUGGACCGGUAUUGACGCUGAGGCGCGAAAGCUAGGGGAGCAAACGGG